rnacentral:lncRNA from 1 species
AUUGGCUAAAACAUUAUCAGAGUUUGCAACGGAAGGUGUAACUAAAAUAAUCAGUGUUUACAGCGGAAUGCAUAACUGAGAUACAUGUAUGAAGACAUGUAUCCUUUCUGAGCCUACUUUAAGUUCGACAAAAGCUCUACUCAGCAACAACACUUCAUCGCCCAUCACAGCUCAACCUGCACAAACAUAAACAUCGAAGGGCUAAGUACAAGAGUACUUAGUGGGCAGUGCCAAGCAUAUAACAUAAUAUCAACAACAAAACACAACUUCGCAUAAGAGGCAUAAGUUUCUUUCAAAUCCUUUACUCAUUAAACAUUUCCAUAUUCAUAAACAGCAUGAGCGCAUUCUUCAUCAUUAACAAUCAUAAACACGCAUCGUGUCGUGGAGAAGGCCUUCCCCAACGAACACAGGCAUCGCGCCGUGAAGGGGAGCCUCCCUCAGCGGUCACGGCAUCGUACUAUUGAGGGAGGCCUCCCCCAAUAGACGCUGUAACACUGGCAUACUGGCCUACUGGCAUCGCGCCGCGAGAGAGGCCUCUCUCAGCGGACACGGGCAUCGCGCUGUGAGGAAGGCCCUCCUCAGCGGACACGACAUCGUACUGUUGAGAGAGGCCUCCCCCAACAGACGCAAGCAUCAAACAUAAGCAUAAACUUAUCAGCGUAAAGCAUUCAAGCGUAAAUAAGCGUAAUCAAGCGUAAAUCAUUUAGCGUAAAGCAUAAUAAAGCAUACCACACUUGAAAAUCCAAUUUGCAUUUUAAAGCAUAAUACUUGCAUAGCAUUUUAUUUACGCGUAAGAAAUUGCCCACCUGAUAGCAAAGUUUUGCUAAGGUACUCUAACUCCUUGUGUAGUUCUUACUCUCGCGCUUGACCUUAAUCACGAGAAUAUAAAAUAAGACAUUGCCUCGAGGAAAAUUCUUAAUUAAUGAGAAAGCGUAAUUUAACUAUGCAUGAAUCUGGUAUGCAUGAACUAAUACUCUGAGCGAUAAUCGGGAAUUCUACUAUUAAUCCUCGUUAAUAGAUUUAGCUAAUUCUCGUCUAGCGCGGUCGAAUAAAACUGUGAUUCUUCCUUCCUCAUCGGAAUAUUCUAGUCGUGAAAUAAACCUCGCAUUUGUACUUGAUUGAAAAAGGACUAACUCGGCUUUAAACGAGGUGUGACCUUGUAGAAAUUAUCGGGCUUUUCGAUAGAAGCAUCAUUACUAGCGUAACCUCAAAUAAUUAAUAGGCUCAAAAGAGAGUAGCCAAUUAAUUAAAUACUUGAUUGGGAUUUGGAAUAAUAGUCCAUCAUAAAAUAAGCAUCAGCCCAACUCUUUAAAUAAAUCAGGCCCAAAACACUUAAAAUCUGUAGCCCACAUAAAUUAAAAGGGAAAGCCCAAUUUAUUUAAAAUAAACAAGCUCACAAUUUAGCCCAAUUAAUUAAAAUAGGGGUAAGCCCAACAUAGCCCAAUCCCUCCCUCUUCUCAAGCUCUCGGCUCUCUUUCUCUCUCAACUCUCAAACGUUUUUUUUACUAGAAUUCAAGGCCGAGAGUCCUCUUCUUCAUCCUUCAAAAUUUCGCCGCCGCGUCUGCUGCUUCUGCAAAUCUGGCGAGGUCGCCGCACAAUCGGUCGGCGCAACCCUGUCUGCUUCUCUCUUACGCCUUCACCUCUCGAGUGAAUCCCUCAGAAAUCACACCAACAAGAGCCCUAAUUUCUCCCAUCAUAAAUCGCUGCCGCCGUUGAAGAACUGGGAUCCGGCGAACGUCGGCUGCUGUCACGCCCUUGUCUGGAGCCAUCGCCGCCGUCUGGAGCGGCUACUGCUUCGCCUGGAGUCACCGCCGACUGCUGCUGCUCGUCCGGUGGUCAGCGGUCGUCGUCUGGGAGAGCGCCGUCGUCGGUCGCUGCUGCNGGAAUUCAUUCCAUAGGCAUACUUAAUACGUGUUUGUCAUAAAUACAUUCAUCAACAACAUAACAUAGCUAUUAACAGUUACACACUUUGUCACUUUUUGUAAACAUUAUCUCAAAACUUGAAAUAGCUUACCAUUCUGCUUCGUUGAGUGUGAUGCGAUGAAGUGCUGAGCUUUGUCGAUUGAACUCUAGACACUUUAGUGAUCCAUUCUAAGUUUGGCUUAAAUGAACUCUUAGGCUCAGAGCAAACGAACUGCUCUGAUACCACUCUGUCACGACCGGCCUUAAUUAGGGAUAAUUAAGCCGGGAAACCAUGACUGGGGAAGGGAAAUUACGAAGCGGGUUUAGAAAGGGGCGCAUAAAAGAAUACUCAAAGAGCUUGAAUACGCGUGAAAUAUUCCUUAAAAAGGAAUAAGGCAUCGUUAGGGGCUUGGCUAAAACAUUAUCAGAGUUUGCAACGGAAGGCCUAACUGAAAUAAUCAGUGUUUACAGCGGAAUGCAUAACUGAGAUACAUGUAUGAAGACAUGUAUCCUUUCUGAGCCUACUUUAAGUUCGACAAAAACUCCACUCAGCAAUACUUCAUCGCCCAUCACAGCUCAACCUGCACAAACAUAAACAACGAAGGGCUAAGUACAAGAGUACUUAGUGGGCAGUUGCCAAACAUAUAACAUAACAUCAACAACAAAACACAACAUCGCAUAAGAGGCAUAAGUUUCUUUCAAAUCCUUUGCUCAUUAAACAUUUCCAAAUUCAUAAAUAGCAUGAGCGCAUUCUUCAUCAUCAACAAUCAUAAACAAGCAUCGUGUCGUGGAGAAGGCCUUCCCCAACGAACACGGGCAUCGCACCGUGAGAGGGGGCCUCCCUCAGCGGUCACGGCAUCGUACUAUUGAGGGAGGCCUCCCCCAAUAGACGCUGUAACACUGGCAUACUGGCAUACUGGCAUCGCGCCGCGAGAGAGGCCUCUCUCAGCGGACACGGGCAUCGCGCCGUGAGGAAGGCCCUCCUCAACGGACACGGCAUCGUACUGUUGAGGGAGGCCUCCCCCAACAGACGCAAGCAUCAAUCACAGGCAUAAACUUAUCAGCGUAAAGCAUUCAAGCGUAAUCAAGCGUAAAUCAUUUAGCGUAAAGCAUAAUAAAGCAUACCACACUUGAAGAUCCAAUUUGCAUUUUAAAGCAAAACACAUACAUAGCAUUUUAUUUACGCGUAAGAAAUUGCCCACCUGAUAGCAAAGUUUUGCUAAGGUACUCUAACUCCUUGUGUAGUUCUUACUCUCGCACUUGACCUUAAUCACGAGAAUAUAAAAUAAGACAUUGCCUCGAGGAAAAUUCUUAAUUAAUGAGAAAGCGUAAUUAACCAUGCAUGAAUCUGGUAUGCAUGAACUAAUAUUCUGAAAUAAUAAUCAGGGAAAUUCUAUUGUUAAUCCAGGUUAUCGGAUUUAAACAAAAGCUAAGUCUCGUCUCAUGAUUCCGGAUAAUUAAUUAAAAUUAAUCCGUUCUCUUCAGGGUGUUCUAAUCCGUCGAUUAAAUAAAUCCCGUUCCUCGUAGUCGAUAGAAAAUAAUUAAAUACUUCAGCUUAUUCGCUUUAUAAACUCAUAAUUUACCGGCUUAAUAAUGAGAAUUUGAAAUGUUAUGAGUUCGAAUAAUUAAAAGGCUCAACAUAAGGUAGCCCAAUAAUUAAUUAAGCAGAAAUGGGCCUGGAUAGCUAAAGUGAAAGGUCCAAUUGAAAUAAUUCAUUGAGCUUAGUAAUUAAAUAAAUCUUGGCCCAAAUGAAUAAAUAAUCUAAUAGUUGGGCUCAAAUAAAUGAAGUAUGCUAGGCCCGACUGUAAUUAAUAAUUCAGCCCAAUUGAAAUGAAAUAAUAAAGGCUCAUCUGAAUAAAUAAAUAAAGCCCAACUGAAUAAAAUAACUGGGCUUGAUUUAAUGAAAAUUUAGCCCGAUCCGAAACCAAUUAAAGGUGGCCCAAUCAUAAAAAUAAAACAAGGCUCAAUUGGAUAUAAUAACAAAGCCCAAUAAUCAAUUAAGUGAAAGAGGCCCAUUAAAAGUUAGGCCCAACUGAAUUAAAUUAGGCAAGGCCCAAAUAAUUAAAUAAACUUGGGCCCAAAUGAAAUAAAUUAGAAUUGGCCCAAUACAAAAAUAAUUGGAUGGCCCAAACAAUUAAAAUAUAUCGGCCCAACUGAUAGCCCAAUCUCUCUCUCUUUUCUAAUUCUCGGUCUCUCUCUCUUUCUCAAGAUUCAAUCUCGCCUUUCUCUCUCUGGAAGAGCCGCUCAAGACAUCUCUCUCUCUCUCUCGCCCGCUCUACACGAGCUCCGCCGCCGCGUCUGCACUUCUUCCGGCCAUUCAACCGGCAUCUGCUUUGGUCGGCUUCGACUGCCGACUCGUGAAACCCCGGCCGCGUUCUCUCUCUGCUCCUUCGUCCAUCCACAGAACCCAAUCGAGCCCUAGAAUCUGGAAUGUCGCCGCUGCCGAGCAGCCGCUGCUCGGGCUCGGUACCGGUCGAACAGAGCGGUUGCGUCUCGUUCGUGGCUGCGUCGGGCUGUUCUCCCUCUCUCCCCGCUCUCUAUCUCAUCGUGUUCGCCUCACACUCCAAGAACCCGCCGCCUUCCUCCGCGGCUUCUGAAAUCCGGCGAGGUCGCGGCUCACCUCCUACACUCAACUGAAUCUCUAAAUUCUGGUGCAGACAUACGCCGCCCUUAAAAUCGGCGAGGUCAACGCCGUUCGUUUCCCCUUCUUUUAAAGCUGAAUCUGCCGCUCCGGGUUCGCCGCCAUCUCCACCGUUUGUGGAAGAUCAGCGAUUCAGCGCCGUUGUUUCGUUCGUGACGCUGCUGCUGUUGUCACGCAAUUUCCGCCGAGGCAGCAGGAGAUGCCGCUGAAAUCUGUCCUCUGCUCAAGAACCGGCUCAAGCCUCACUCUCUCCCUUUUUCUAUUGAAUUAUGGUAUUUCUAUAAUUGAUUAUGCAAGAGAUAAAACUAAGUUCGUGGUUUACUAAUGUAUCAAGAAAUUUCCUUGCUUGCCUCGUGUGAUAAGAAAAUAUAGCAUAAACUGAUUUCUGCCUAAAGAUCAUAUGAGUUUGCUAAGUCUCUUUAUGAAUAUACUCAUUGUAUGCUUAGUAUCCUUUAAUCGAUCAUGUCUUGUUGGAUAGAAAAACGAAUGGAUUGAAUGAGCUGAGCCUAGUGUUUACCUUGUCUAUUUGUGCUUGAUUGGCUGAUCUGUUUUCUUCUUCUUGGUGAAAAUUUGUUGGCAUAUACUGUUUGAAUAAGGAGAUCUCGGAGAUUAUAGAUGUUAUUUCGGGUGUUUUUUUUUUCUGUGUGAAACUUGGUUUUGAUGUUGGCAUGAGCUUGCUGUAAACAUUCUGUUGGAAUAUACGAAUUGGAUUUUCUUAAACAGCUCCACUGGCGAUCUAUUGAGUAAGAAGGGAGAAGGAUUUGGUGGGGAGCAAAAGAUAAUGGAGUUGGUGGUGCACUAGUGUGGUGGGGGAAAAGUAAAGUAGUGGUGGGGAGGUAGGUAUAAUGGGAUUUGGUGGAGUGGAUGCGUGUAUAG